rnacentral:rRNA from 1 species
UACGUAGGCAGCAAGCGUUGUUCGGAAUUACUGGGCGUAAAGAGUGUGUAGGCGGUGCUCUAAGUUUGGUGUGAAAUCUCCCGGCUCAACUGGGAGGGUGCGCCGAAAACUGGAAUGCUUGAACAUGGGAGAGGAAAGCGGAAUUCCUGGUGUAGCGGUGAAAUGCGUAGAUAUCAGGAGGAACACUGCGGUGUAGACGGCUUUCUGGACCAUUGUUGACGCUGAGACACGAAAGCGUGGGUAGCAAACAGG